rnacentral:piRNA from 1 species
UCCUGACUGCUUCAACUAAUC